GACGAACGCUGGCGGCAUGCCUAACACAUGCAAGUCGAACGAAACCUUCGGGACUAGUGGCGCACGGUUGUGUAACGCGUGGGGACCUGCCCUUAGGUUCGGAAUAACUCCCAGAAUGGGGUGAUAUUACGGGAUAAUGUCUUCUGACCAAAGAUUUUUUGCCUUUGGAUGGGCCCGAGUUGGAUUAGGUAGUUGGUAGGGUAACAGCCUACCAAGGCCGGGAUGCAUAGCUGGUCUGAGUGGGUGAUCGCCCACACUGGGACUGAGACACGGCCCAGACUCCUGCGGGAGGCAGCAGUCGGGAAUCUUCCGCAAUGGAGGAGUGCCUGACGUAGGAACGUCGCGUGAGUGAUGAACGUGCACGGAUCGGAGAACUCUGUUAUUAGUGGAGAACAUAUGUGUAAGUACCUGUGCACAUAUUGACGGUACCUAAUCAGAAAGCCCCGGCUAACUACGUG
rnacentral:rRNA from 1 species